rnacentral:rRNA from 1 species
UACGAAGGGGGCUAGCGUUGUUCGGAAUUACUGGGCGUAAAGCGCGCGCAGGCGGUCGCGUAAGAGUGCGGGGACAGUGGGCGGCUUAACUGCCCAAGGGUCGCACAGACUGCGUGACUGGAGGGCCAGAGAGGGACCUGGAAUUCCGGGUGGAGCGGUGAAAUGCGUAGAGAUCCGGAGGAACACCAAUGGCGAAGGCAGGGUCCUGGCUGGCACCUGACGCUCAUGUGCGAAAGCCAGGGGAGCGAACGGG